GGCACCUUAGCUCAACUGGUUAGAGCAGGCGCUUCAUACGCGCAAGGUUCGGGGUUCGAGUCCCUGAGGUGCCA
rnacentral:tRNA from 2 species